AAAGUUUCCUUCGGGAAGUGAGUAGAGUGGCGUCCGGGUGAGUAACACGUAGGUAAUCUACCUUUGGGUGGGGAAUAACAACCGGAAACGGUUGCUAAUACCGCAUAAUGCAGCGGCAUCACAUGAUGACAGUUGUUAAAGCGGGGGAUCGCAAGACCUCGCGCCUAAAGAGGAGCCUGUGGCGGAUUAGCUAGUUGGUAGGGUAACGGCCUACCAAGGCAACGAUCCGUAGCCGGCCUGAGAGGGCGGUCGGCCACACUGACACUGAAAUACGGGUCAGACUCCUACGGGAGGCAGCAGUCGGGAAUUUUGGGCAAUGGGCGAAAGCCUGACCCAGCAACGCCGCGUGAAGGAUGAAAUCCCUCGGGAUGUAAACUUCGCAAGAACGGGAAGAAUAAGUAGGGGACAAUACCCCCUAUGAUGACGGUACCGUUUGUAAGCUCCGGCUAACUCCGUGCCAGCAGCCGCGGUAAUACGGGGGGAGCAAGCGUUGUUCGGAUUUACUGGGCGUAAAGGGCGCGUAGGCGGUCAGUGCAAGUCAGUUGUGAAAUCUCCGGGCUUAACUCGGAAAGGUCAACUGAUACUGCUCGACUAGAGUGCGGAAGGGGCAACUGGAAUUCUUGGUGUAGCGGUGAAAUGCGUAGAUAUCAAGAGGAACACCUGCGGCGAAGGCGGGUUGCUGGGCCGACACUGACGCUGAUGCGCGAAAGCCAGGGGAGCGAACGGGAUUAGAUACCCCGGUAGUCCUGGCCUUAAACGAUGAAUGCUUGGUGUCUGGGGUUAUAAAGUCCCCGGGUGCCGUCGCUAACGCUUUAAGCA
rnacentral:rRNA from 1 species